AACGAACGCUGGCGGCAUGCCUAACACAUGCAAGUCGAACGAGACCUUCGGGUCUUGUGGCGCACGGGUGCGUAACGCGUGGGAGCCUGCCCUUAGGUUCGGAAUAACUCCCCGAAAGGGGUGCUAAUACCGGAUAAUGUCUUCGGACCAAAGAUUUAUCGCCUUUGGAUGGGCCCGCGUUGGAUUAGCUAGUUGGUAGGGUAAAAGCCUACCAAGGCGACGAUCCAUAGCUGGUCUGAGAGGAUGAUCAGCCACACUGGGACUGAGACACGGCCCAGACUCCUACGGGAGGCAGCAGUGGGGAAUAUUGGACAAUGGGCGAAAGCCUGAUCCAGCAAUGCCGCGUGAGUGAUGAAGGCCUUAGGGUUGUAAAGCUCUUUUACCCGGGAUGAUAAUGACAGUACCGGGAGAAUAAGCGCCGGCUAACUCCGUG
rnacentral:rRNA from 1 species